rnacentral:rRNA from 1 species
GGUUGCGAUCAUACCAGCACUAAUGCACCGGAUCCAUCAGAACUCCGCAGUUAAGCGUGCUUUGGCGAGAGUAGUACUAGGAUGGGUGACCCCCUGGGAAGUCCUCGUGUUGCAACCC